rnacentral:rRNA from 1 species
UACGUAGGGUGCAAGCGUUGUCCGGAAUUAUUGGGCGUAAAGCGCUCGCAGGUGGUUCGUUGCGUCGUGCGUGAAAGACCCCGGCUCAACUGGGGAGGGUCGUGCGAUACGGGCGAACUGGAGGCCAGUAGGGGGAUGCGGAAUUCCGGGUGUAGUGGUGGAAUGCGUAGAGAUCCGGAGGAACACCAGCGGCGAAGGCGGCAUCCUGGACUGGUCCUGACACUCAGGAGCGAAAGCGUGGGGAGCGAUCCGG